GCGAUCAUACCAGCACUAAUGCACCGGAUCCCAUCAGAACUCCGAAGUUAAGCGUACUUGGGCGAGAGUAGUACUAGGAUGGUGACCCCCUGGGAAGUCCUCGUGUUGCACCCC
rnacentral:rRNA from 1 species